GACGAACGCUGGCGGCGUGCCUAAUACAUGCAAGUAGAACGCUGAAGAGAGGAGCUUGCUCUUCUGGGUUGAGUGGCGAACGGGUGAGUAACGCGUAGUUAACCUGCCUUGUAGCGGGGGAUAACUAUGGGAAACGAUAUCUAAGACCGCAUAACAAUAGGUGACACAGGUCAUUUAUUUGAAAGGGGCAAUUGCUCAACUAAAAGAUGGACCUGCGUUGUAUUAGCUAGUAGGUGAGGUAAGGGCUCACCCAGGCGACGAUACAUAGCCGACCUGAGAGGGUGAUCGGCCACACUGGGACUGGGACACGGCCCAGACUCCUGCGGGAGGCAGCAGUAGGGGAUCUUCGGCAAUGGGGGCAACCCUGACCGAGCAACGCCGCGUGAGUGAAGAAGGUUUUCGGGUCGUAAAGCUCUGUUGUAAGUCAAGAACGAGUGUGAGAGUGGAAAGUUCACACUGUGACGGUAGCUUACCAGAAAGGGACGGCUAACUACGUG
rnacentral:rRNA from 1 species